CCUGGUAUACUCUUACCUGAGUCUAGAUGAACAUGCGUUAUUGGUAACGAUUAGGUAUGAAGCUUCAUUGACAAUGUUUUGGUUAAAAUCACUUAUUUAUACGAUUAGGGG
rfam:Rosellinia necatrix DNA, scaffold: Contig59, strain: W97.